CACCCCUCACCAGCCGCACCCACCGCACUCCUUUCUCGGAGUCAUGAAGUCACGAGUGCUUGGCGGUCGGGAUCCGGUGGCCUUGGCGGCACCAUGGAGGACCCUCCAUGGUGGACCUGUGGAGGUAGACUAUCAGGAUCCGGUGGGUCUUGACGAAGCAUCGAGGAGCAUCCAUGGUGGACCUUUGUGGAUCUAUGGAGGAAGGAGAUCUCUUCGUUCAGGUUCUCUAGGAUGGCGCAGGCACUAGCAUCUCCAGACGGUGGCGCAGGCCCAGGCGCUAGCACGAGCAGAGGAGGCUCCGACUAGCAGAGGCGCAGGUUUGAGCAGUAGUAGCUCCGACCAGUGGAGCAGGAAUGGGCGCAGGGUAGCUCUGCUCACAUCAUGAUUGGUUGAAGCAUGUGAUUUGGUGUCGGCGGCCACACGGUGAGAUGCAUGGUGAGUGAUUUUGUAUUUGAUUUUUUAUUUGGCCUGGUUGCCUAUGAAGUCUUUGACAGAUUGCUUGACUAGUGCUUUGUGUAUGGUUUAGUUUGUUAUGUGCUCACAGACAUUCUUUAGGGCGCCAAUUGGAUUCAAUCAUCUGCGUGCAAAGAUGGAAGGUUUGUGAUGAAUGUCUGUGAGCAUAUAACAAACCACGCACAUGUCUGCAAGGAUUUGUUGCUCGACAGCUUUACACUGCAUUAUUAGUUCUCUAGAAACCUUUUGGAGUAUCAGAUCCGUGAGAUUUUAUAGUUGUAGGAUGUAUGUGCUUGUUGCUAUGAUUAAAGAAUCGUCUGAGAGAAAAUUAGUAAAUAAUUUAUGCUUAUUGCAAUGAUUUUUUGUCUCUUGCGCGUGAAUGUCAAUAAUCUAUUCUAAGUGUUCUGCAUUUUUAAUCCACUAUUUCUGUAACAAGCAACAACCUGAUGAAUUUGACAUGUCCCUUUUUUUUUUUGCUAAGUGAGGCUUUGUUACUAGGGAUGUGGGCAACAGUAUGUUACCAACUGGUGAUCUGGUGAGGCGAGGUCCCGUCCUGAUGGCUGAUCUGUCGUCCCCAACUAUAGUGUUCUGAUCUGUUGAGGUCCUGCAACUGCAAGGUAUGCAACAAAAGCUUUAGUUUACUCGAGAGUAACACACUCUGCAACAACAGCUUUAGUAUUUGGUCUUUGGAAGUUAUAAUCAAGAGAAACAUGAGCCUAGUCUUUAGAGGUUAUACCUGUUGUGCAGUUUUUUUACUUUAGUGUACACCAUUACUGAGUUGCAACGGGUUGUACCUUGGGUUUGAACUUGUAUUCUCUUGUAAAGCAUUAUUUAUGAAUUAUGAAUGAGAAUUAUGUAUGGUUAUUGUAAUUAUUUAAAUGGUUACAUGGUUUAUAAUA